rnacentral:rRNA from 1 species
UACGGAGGGUGCAAGCGUUAUCCGGAUUCACUGGGUUUAAAGGGUGCGUAGGUGGGUCUGUAAGUCCGUGGUGAAAUCUCCAAGCUUAACUGGGAGAGGCCAUUCCAAACUGCCUGACUGGAGGGCAGUAGAGGUAGGCGGAAUUCCGGGUGGAGUGGUGAAAUGCGUAGAGAUCCGGAGGAACACCAGAGGCGAAGGCGGCCUACUGGGCUGCACCUGACGCUGAGCCGCGAAAGCUAGGGGAGCGAACGGG